UACGGAGGGUGCAAGCGUUAUCCGGAAUUACCGGGUUUAAAGGGUGCGUAGGCGGCUUGAUCAGUCAGAGGUGAAAGCCUAUCGCUUAACGAUAGAAUUGCCUUUGAUACUGUAAAGCUUGAAAGGGGUUGAGGUCAGCAGAAUGUGGCAUGUAGCGGUGAAAUGCAUAGAUAUGCCAUAGAACACCGAUUGCGAAGGCAGCUGGCUGGGCCUACUUUGACGCUGAGGCACGAAAGCGUGGGGAGCGAACAGG
rnacentral:rRNA from 1 species